GAUGAAGAACGUAGCGAAAUGCGAUAAGUAAUGUGAAUUGCAGAAUUCAGUGAAUCAUCGAAUCUUUGAACGCACAUUGCGCCCGCCAGUAUUCUGGCGGGCAUGCCUGUUCGAGCGUCAUUUCAACCAUCAAGCCCCCGGCUUGUGUUGGGGACCCUGCGGCUGCCCGCAGGCCCUGAAAACCAGUGGCGGGCUCGCUGUCACUCCGAGCGUAGUAGCAUAUAUCUCGCUCAGGGCGUGCUGCGGGUUCCGGCCGUUAAAAGCCUUUUUUUUACCCAAGGUUGACCUCGGAUCAGGUAGGAAGACCCGCUGAACUUAAGCAUACAAUAAGCGGAGGA
rnacentral:misc_RNA from 1 species